UACGUAGGGUGCAAGCGUUGUCCGGAAUUAUUGGGCGUAAAGAGCUCGUAGGCGGUCUGUCGCGUCGGAUGUGAAAAUCCAGGGCUCAACCCUGGACCUGCAUUCGAUACGGGCAGACUAGAGUUCGGUAGGGGAGACUGGAAUUCCUGGUGUAGCGGUGAAAUGCGCAGAUAUCAGGAGGAACACCGGUGGCGAAGGCGGCCUGCGUGGGUCAGUUGC
rnacentral:rRNA from 1 species